GAUGGAAAUAUGCAAUUUUAAGAACAGCGUGUUUGCUUUUCCGAAAACAUUGAAUCUUGAAGUUUGCCUGGCAGUUAGCGCUAAUAGUUAAAACAAGUACAACCAUGUAGCAAUGUUGUUUUAAUAGUCAUAUAGUAUACAGUAUCUAUCGUAUGUGUUAAAAUUAUAAGCGUUUAUCCUGUUGUCAUUACACAGAUCGGCUGGUGUAAUGUUACCAACCGGUCGAAGGCUGGAAGGCAAGAAUAUUCUUCCCUUCGAAACUAAACACAUUAUAACGUCUGUGUAAUACAAUGCCUCGUGAGAGGAGAUUACCAAGCGACUGUAUUAUGUAUAGCAAUAACGCUUCAGUCAUAUCUACUAAUCUACAUACCAGUGCGCCUGUGCAGUAUAGAGGCGGCGAUCUGCAUGGAAUAAUAAUAUAUGUUAUUGGGCCAAGAAAGAUUCUAUGUUACUUCCACACGAUAUCAGGAAAUUGAGUUCCUCCUUUUCAGCUUUUGGUAAUACAUUUUGUCCCAAUGAACCUUAAUCCUUCAAUGCUAUUUAAUAGGAAUAGGACUCAAAAGAAGCAGGCGAUGUCUGACUUUAAGUUCAAUUUAUGUAGAUCCAAAAGACCAAAAUAUUAUUACUGACUGGAAAGUUUGGAAAUUGCGCUCCGGAGAUUUCGAAAAUUCAAUAGUAAAUAUAUAGAAAGCAUCAACAUUUGCGCGCCCAGUGUCUCCGCCGCGCGAUA